rnacentral:lncRNA from 1 species
AGGAAUUGAAAUGCUACCAUAAUACCUCUGCAUUAUCCUAUCAUUUUCCUGCCUUAUUUCAUAAUUGGAAUUAAUGACUUUUCCUGGAAGAAAAUCAGGCAGCGAGCAAUGAUUAUCUUAGUCCUUGGUUAGGACUCUUGCAUAUUCUGAUAAUGAAUCUGAACUUCUAUCCAAGCAAGUUCAUGCUCCCUCUGGAUACUGAAGGAGACGUUUUGAGCACAUUAGAAGGCUACUAGGAAGAAGUUGAUGGGAGAAGAUUGGACAACAGUAUCACCACUUGCUGUUCUUUGGAAUUACGGCCGUAAGCUCUGGGGACUGACACAUAUCUGAUACACAGAAGGGAAGGCUGUGCAUAUCAGCAUCAGCCUACUUCCACCUCAUUAUUUCCUCAGAAUGGCUGUUUCCAUCCAAGUGAUUA